UUGGAGGGCAAGUCUGGUGCCAGCGGCCGCGGUAAUUCCAGCUCCAAUAGCGUAUAUUAAAGUUGUUGCAGUUAAAAAGCUCGUAGUUGAACUUCGGGAUCAAUGAGUUGGUCGUGCCCUUGGUAUGAACUGGCUUUAUUGGUUCUCACCUUCUAAUGAACCAUAAUGUCAUUCAUUUGAUGUUUUGGGGAAUUAGGACUGUUACCUUGAAAAAAUUAGAGUGUUUAAAGCAGGCUCACGCUUGAAUACAUUAGCAUGGAAUAAUGAAAUAGGACAUCGCAUUCUAUUUUGUUGGUUUCUAGGAUCGAUGUAAUGAUUAAUAGGGAUAGUUGGGGGCAUUAGUAUUCAAUUGUCAGAGGUGAAAUUCUUGGAUUUAUUGAAGACUAACUACUGCGAAAGCAUUUGCCAAGGAUGUUUUCAUUAAUCAAGAACGAAAGUUAGGGGAUCGAAGACGAUCAGAUACCGUCGUAGUCUUAACCAUAAACUAUGCCGACUAGGGAUCGGAUGAUGUUGAUUUUUUAAUGACUCAUUCGGCGCCUUACGGGAAAC
rnacentral:rRNA from 1 species